rnacentral:rRNA from 1 species
CCUACGGGGAGCAGCAGGGAGGAAUAUUGGGCAAUGGUCGGGAGACUGAACCAGCCAAGCCGCGUGAGGGAGGAAGGUACAGAGUAUCGUAAACCUCUUUUGUCAGGGAACAAAGACUGGGACGCGUCCCCGGAUGAGUGUACCUGAAGAAAAAGCAUCGGCUAACACCGUGCCAGCAGCCGCGGUAAUACGGAGGAUUCGAGCGUUAUCCGGAUUUAUUGGGUUUCAAGGGUGCGCAGGCGGUCUGUUAAGUCAGCGGUCAAAGCCCGGGGCUCAACCCCGGCCCGCCGUUGAAACUGGCAGUCUCGAGUUGGAGAGAAGUAUGCGGAAUGCGCGGUGUAGCGGUGAAAUGCAUAGAUAUCGCGCAGAACUCCGAUUGCGAAGGCAGCAUGCCGGCUCCAAACUGACGCUGAGGCACGAAAGCGUGGGGAGCAAACAGGAUUAGAUACCCCAGUAGUC